AUUGUGCUUGUGCCUGCUGCUGCACACUCGCAGGCACGGGGCUAUAAUGAGGCGCACGCGAUCCCGGCUUCUCAACUUUGCCUUCUCGAAGGACACCGGGGUUUUAAAUCGCCUGGGCUAGAAUUACCAGGAAGGAAAAGAGAGAGAAAUGAAAUCCCAACUGUACCUGACGGCGUCUGGGAAUCCCUCGCCGGCACCGAUCAUAAUCCCCCUCCGCGCCUCUGGCCCCCCACACCAAAACUUUUCCGCUGCCGCCGCCGCUCCUCGGUUCUGACCGCCGCCCGCCGCUCCUGGCCAGCCCCUGGGGCCCGCUGCCCGCCGCCGCUCCGCUCCGGAGCGGCCCCCGCGUCUCCCUCCUCCCUUAGGAGGCAGCGGCAUCGUCCUCCCCCCUUCUCCUCCACCUCCUCCUACGGCGCGCAGCCCGCGGCUCUGGCAUCCCCAACGCACUUUCUCUCCUCGAUUCGCUCCUCUUUUCCCCGCCGCUCCUCCUUCUCCGGCAAAAAAGAAAUGAGAAGGGGCCACAGGGACGUUGCUUUCUUUUUCUUUCUUUUUUUUUUUUUUUUCUCUCUCUGUCUCUGUCCUCUAGAAAUGGUGCGAGGAUCACAUGAGACGCUGGCACGGAGACCCAGGACCCUUGGACGUCGGAGGAGGCAGCGGACACAUAGAUCUAUAACGCUAGAAUCAGCGUUGCUGCUUGCAAGACAGAGAGUAAAAGUAGCUGGAAACAAUUCUGUGACUGGGAGGCUGAUCUAAAAUACACUGAAUAUUUAUUCUGUUUUUGUCAGUAAUGGUAUAUUUUGUAUCAGGCUUUAAAUUCAUGAAGCUGACAGAAAAAAAAUGCAAUGUGAAUUCUUCAUCAAAUUUUUGCAAAAUCAAUUAUUUUAAAAUGUGUUUGAGGAUAGUGGAGAGCAGAAGAAACAGAGGGCGGGG
rnacentral:lncRNA from 1 species